rnacentral:tRNA from 1 species
GGGGCGUUAGCUCUGUUGGUAGAGCAGUUGACUUUUAAUCAAUUGGUCGCAGGUUCGAAUCCUGCACGCCCCACCA